ACCACAGGAAGCACGGAGGGCUUGAGGCUUGGAGGCCAGGCCACUCCAGCCUCAAAGUCCUGGACCAUAUCAUAGAGUUAGAUGUCAGCCCAGGAGUAUGGGGAGCCAGGGAAGCAUUGAAAAUGUGAAAGUCAGCCUGGCAUGGAUUACAAGGAAGUCUACCCAGCUACCUUCAACAAACACAAGCCGCUGGUCGGAAAUGGAUUCAGUGCUGAGUGAGAGCGUUGGAUGUGACCAGCCUCUGCCCCUGCCCUCCUAGCAUGCCAGGGUUUCCCCUGGGGUCUCAUUUAAUCCUCGCAGUAACUCUGUGAGUUACCAUCCACUGGUCCCAGCAUGGAGAGGCCCGGAGAGGUGGAGGAACUUUCUCAAGGACACACAGACUUCAGAAUGGUAACUGUGGUUAUGAGCACCUGCAACCCCCACGUCUGCCAGAGCAGCCCGCCAUUUCAGACCUGGUUAUGGUGCUUUUGCCCAGCUGCAUGUCAGAAUCACCUGGGGAGCUGGGAAAAUGCCUGUGGCCAGGCCCACCCUGGAUCUACUGAACCCGAAUUUCUAGCACCAAAAGCCCAACCAAAACAAACAAACUCAGUUGGUUCUAAUGCGAAGCCCCAGUGUGGAAUCACCGAUCUUGUCUAACCUCUCCUCCACAUUACACACUGGGAAAGAGAGACUGCAAGUAACCAGCCCAGGGAUACACAGUGCUGGUCCCCAGCCUCUUCACCCACCUCAGGCCUCCCAAGCCUCUGCUUGCUUCCUCUAUUCCCCUUGGGCUCCAGGUUUCCUGGCCCUAACUCGCUGCAUCUGUCUCAGAGGACUUCUGUCCCUGGGGUAUUCCUAAUGAUCUUGAGUACCACGAAGGCUAAGCCAGAGUGAGACACACAGAGUUGCUAGGCUCACAAAGCCAGCCCCUCCCGUCCUCCCACCUACAGCCUCAAACCUCCGGGCUGCUUCAAGAGAGGUUACUAAGGUCACCAAGGUCAUUCCCCAGCCUCCAGGGAGGCCUGACAUGAAGACAGGCCCCAGGCACAGAGAAUCAGAAGCCGGGGCUCCUUGCUGUGUGACCUUAGAUGAGUCCAAAAUGGUUUCAGGGCAGGAUGUGGGGCAGAGGACCUCUGGGAAUCCGUUCCAGUUCUGCCUCCCGACCUCACACACACUGGCUACACGUUUAAGGGGAUGGAGCCUUCAAUGUCCUUGGCUGGCUUGCUCCUGAUCAGUUGGGACGUUGCUUAUUUCUAACCUGGAACAUUCCAACUGUGCUCUCAACCUUUAGCCCUCCUGUGUGAAGAUGGAAACUAUCUGGUACAAACGCCCUUCGCUUGUUCAGAAGACACCCCUAGCCCUCCUGAGCCCAGGCUGAGGGUACCCCCUCCCUCCUCCCCAGGUCUGGCAGGUCUUGCUGAUUCUGGUGGGAGUUUCAUUCCCAACAAAUGCGGUUGGUCUCAUCAGAGGUUGCUGGAGGGACAGAGGCUGUCAGAGCUUCUGCCCGGCUUCAGCUGAACCCUGUUGCACUCACGACUCCUAAGCAGUUAAGGAGGACAGGGGUCUGGCUGGGCCACGGCGUUGCCUCCAAUGAGAUGGGAAUUUCCAGCCAAGAACCCCUUGUAGGCUAUGAAGAGAAGGCCCAAGAGGCAGCCUCCAGGAAUGGGGAACUGGGAAGCUAGAAAUUCCCAGACCAGAGUUUCCCAUGGGCGAUGGGGGCAGCUUGUGAGAAUGCAGAUUCUGACCCAGCAGGACAGUGGCAGGCCCUGAGGCCCGGGAAUGUGCAUUUCUGAUAAGCUCCAGGUACUGCCACUGCUGCCAGUCCACUGACCACACUUUUAGGCAACUUUUGUUCAACUUGGGUUUCGUCAUUUCCAGCUUUGUUAGCUUAUGAAACCUACACAGCAGCCCUGAGGGACAGAAGGGGAAACUGAGGGGUGGCAAGGGCAGUGGGCUUAUUCAAGGUCACCCACUUGGCUCUGCUCCUUUGUCUAAACUCCUCCUCUAUGGCACGUUAGAACCAAACGCCUUGGUAAUGAGUGGCCUCACUGAGCGACUCCUUGUCCUGCCUCUAACUCGACUACGUGGUCUGAGGCUGCUGGGGUACCUAGUGGGUCCUUGAUGAACUGUGCUGGCUCCCUGUGGCCUGAGCUGGUGGGAUAGGAUGGGGAAGAAGGGAUUGGAAAUCAGCCAGGUCUCAAAUCCCAGCCAUGCCCUUGGCUCCUAUGUCACCCUGAGCGAAUCCCCUGAUGUCUCUGAAGACAUCCAUGACAUGCACCAUCCCUGGUAUGUGGAGGAUGCUCAGUCAACAUGAGUUCCCUGCCUUUCUUUCCUCCUCCACAUCCUGAGUCUUGUCCAUUUCUUCCUUUCCUCUGCACAUAUUUAUGACAGCACAGUCUCUGAGGCAAGACUACUGGGAAACACAUCCAAGCUGUGUGACCCUGGGCAAGUCACUUACCCUCUCUGUGCUUCAGUUUCCUCCUCUGCACAAUGGGGAUAAGAAGAGUGUCCAGCACAAAGGCCAUGAAGAGAUGAAAUGAGUCAAUGGGUGAAAAGUGCUCGGAGCAGUGCCCGGAACACAGUGAGUGCUCCCUGUGCAUGUAGCUGCUGUGCUGUUAAUAUAUCUCCCUGAUGACCAGGGCACCACUCAGAGUGUGCACCGUGGCAGACACUGCCGAUGGAGCGCUGAAGCCACAGCAACGCAAUGGCUCACACCUGCUGAGCACUCACUAUGUGCCCGGCGCCGUGCUAAGUGAUUUUCUGCCAGCCUUCCCCCAUCCCCGAGAUCACAGUCAAAGGAGAAUGCAAAACACUAAGCUGAUUGUGCAGGGUGUUUUGGGAACAUAGAGGCAGGACUGACGCAUGGGGAGGGCUCAGAGGGCCUGCAGGAGGUGGGGACACAAGACCCUGUUUGAGCUUCACAGAAUCCCCCCAGGAAGGUGUGGAGGAGCAUGGGCCUCUGUUGGGUUUUACCACUUGUCAUCAUGCCUACCGCCCUGGGGACACCCCUCUACCUCACCAUCACCCCAACAUGUGGGGGAGAGACCCAGAGCUCCCACAAAGCCAGGGAACCUGGAGGAAGCCCAGCAGGGAGGAAAACCUGGGUUCACAGUGCCUCCCGCAGCCUGAUUUCUGCCAGGGCCAGAGCUCAGCAUGUCCUAGAGGACAGACCCCCUCUGUUCUUGUGGGCAGAGGGAGCAGUGGGAAAGCAGGGCCUGAGGUCAGACUGACUUGGCCUGAUCCUAACCAGCUGUGGGACCAGGGGCAAGUUAUGUCAUCUGUUACAAAAGAAAAGAAGAAAAAAAGGAUGAGAGAGAGACCGAUCAAGAAAGAAGAGUGGGCAUGUGGGCCACAGAUGACAUCCAGGUGAGUGUGAGAACCCAGCCAGCAAAUGAGAUGAAGGCACCCUGUGGGCCAGGCACAAGGGAGGUCUGGUAUCCCUGGGCUCCUCACCCCCGUUCCAUGCACAUUUCUUCCCUGCACCUGCUGCCCCAUUUCUCUGAGGCCCGAGCUUGGAAUGGGUGGGAGGGACUAUGUGUCAGGCCAGGGGCUGUGUGACUCUCCAAGUCAGGCCAGAUUAGUGGUGCCAAGGCCUCUAACCCACAGGCUGGGACCUGCCAACUUGCCCCAGCUGGGCCACCUCCCACUCCACACAAAGCCACUGGGUGCAGGAGGCACCCAACACAGGCUCCACCCUGGACAGCCACCCCAGACACAGUGGAAAGGGAAAAUGCUGCCGUCGCAAAUCUGCCUCCAAGACCCCACGGCAGCCGAGGCGGGGAUUGGCUCACAGCAGCCGCCAAAGCCUCAGGACCCUCACUCGCACACCUCCAGUCAUGUCAGCAAACAUGGCUGCCUGCUGGGCAGUGGAGCAAAUGGUACAACGUCACAGUUCUCAAAGUGCGUUCGCCUGCCCAGCCACCUGUGGAUCUCACAGAAGCCCUGAGAGACAGACUUCAUGGCUGAUGCCACCUCAGGCACGGGGGUGUGGGGACCCAAGGUCAAGGUCAACUUGGCCAAUGUUGAACAGCUACUGAGUGACAGCCCUGGGAUGAGAGCUUGGGCCUUCUGACUCCAAGGCCGUGCUCCCUCUGCCAGCCAGGCAGACACAGACCCUGCCUGGGAAGGGGCCUCGGGAAGUAGAAGAUAGGCUUGUGCCAGGAUCGGCCCUGGGCUAGGCAAGGCUCAGCAAGACAGAGCAGGAGCACAGGGCUAGAAGCAGCCCAAGGGGCACAGAGGGGCACAGGGGGCUGCACCAUGGAAGAGGACGCGUUUGGGCUAAACCUGGGCGAGAUGAGAGCGAGUCACUGGCUAAGGCCAUGGCACAGGUGUAGUGGGGAGGAGAAGGCUGAGCAGAGAGGUCAAAGGCCCGGGGUGGGCAGGAAUAGACAUUCCAGGUAGGGCAGGGCAGAGUGAAGCCCAUCCAAAGACGGGCAUUCUCCAUCCUUAGGGGCCAGAUGGGGAUGGGGGAAUGGUGAGAAACCUGGCUGAGAUUUCUUACCUCUUGAGGGCCUUAAAAGCAGGUUCUGGUGUGGGGGUGCUGUCCUGCUAGUUGGAGUUCACAGAGAAGAGCCCUGAAGGCUGGGAUGGUUAGGGAAGACUCCCUGAGAGAGGUGGGCUCAAGCUGGCCUCUGAAAGGGGGAUAGGAGGGAAGAGAUUUGGGGAAGGCAUUGCAGCUCGGGGACAGUGUGAGCAAGGCCUUGAGGCUGGAGAGCCCAGGGUGUGUGCAUGCAUGCACGUUUGCAUGCGUGCACAUGUGUGCAUGUGCGUGCCUGUGAUUAAGCAGCUGCAGGGGUGGGUCAGGGAGGAGGAGAGGGGUCCGGUGCGUGUUGCUUCCCAGACAUCCAGGCUGCUUCUCAUCUCCCUCACACCAACCCUCGCAUCAGGUACAUGAGCCUCAGUUUACAAAUGAAGACAGAUCUGGCUCCAGAAGCCCCAACAGUGAAGGCUGCCACUUACUGCUUGUGGGAAGCCAGGCCCUGUGUCAGACGCUUUCCCCACAUGCCCUGCAAGGAUGGUGAAGCCAUUUUACAGAUGCCUGGGAGAAGUUGGGUAACAUGGCGAAGGACACACAGCUGGGAAAGAGCAGAAAUGAACUCUGAGUCUAGCUCAGUGAGACUCUGCUACCUGGGGCUCUCCUGUUCUUACUGAGGUUGAGGAACCAAGGGAUAUCCAAGCUAGAACCUUCCCCAGGGCCUUCACAGUAAAGGGCACUUGAGUUAUUCCAAGACAAGUUAGCCGCGGGAGAGGGGCAGGCCAAAGGGCUAGCACACUGGAGGCCCUUGGCAGGUGAGGACUAAAUAAGUGAGUGAAUGAGUGAAUGAGUCUUACUGGCCUUCAGAGGAGGCCAGUUCCUCUGAACUUGGCGAAAAGGAGAAAUCAGAGAGGGCUGCAUGAAGGAGGUGACACUUGGAGCUAUUCAGCUUAAGGAUGCACUUGCUGUGCUGCAGUGUUCCAUUCACUAGGCCAUGCAGGUAGUUCAAGACCAGGACUGGUCCUGGCUCCCAAGCUCUGCCAACAUCUCUGUCCCUAAGGCUCGGAAGCAGAGGGCUGGGGAGGGGAGGCCACUGACACAUCAAGAUUCCUGGGACUCCUAAUCAUCAUCUGCGAUUCUUCCAAAAGCAGAACUGGCAGCUGAGGAUGUGAAACUGGCCCUCCCAGGCUCUUUCCUGCCAGGCAAGAGGCAGCAGGAAGGAUGUAAAAGUAGCUUCCUGUGAACCCUCACACUCCAGGACCCACCCCUCCAAUCCCUCACUCCUGCCCCACCCCCAGCAGCUGCUCCCAUUUGUCUGUGAAAGGGCCAGCAUGUGGAGAAAGAUUCAUCUUCCCUGAGCCAGAGGAAAACUGACAGGUGGCACUGGGCACAUUCUAGCUGUGCCUCAUCACCCUCCUCCCACACCUUCCAGCUGUGCCCCAUCACCUCCUCCCACACCUUCCAGCUGUGCCUCAUCACCCCUCCCACACCGUCCAGCUGUUCAUCACUCUCCCCCACACCUUCCAGCUGUGCCUCAUCACCCUCCUCCCACGCCUUCCAGCUGUGCCUCAUCACCUCCUCCCACACCUUCCAGCUGUGCCUCAUCACCCUCUUCCCAUGCCUUCCAGCUGUGCCUCAUCACCUCCUCCCACACCUUCCAGCUGUGUCUCAUCACCCUCCUUCCAUACCUUCCAGCUGUGCCUCAUCACCUCCUCCCACACCUUCGAGCUGUGCCCUAUCACCCUCCUCCCACACCUUCCAGCUGUGCCCCCGCACCUCCUCCCACACCUUCCAGCUGUGCCCCAUCACUCUCCUCCCACACCUUCCAGCUGUGCCCCAUCACCCUCCUCCCACACCUUCCAGCUGUGUCUCCACCUCCUCCCACACCUUCCAGCUGUGCCUCAUCACCCUUUUCCCACACCUUCCAGCUGUGUCUCCACCUCCUCCCACACCUUCCAGCUGUGUCUCAUCACCUCCUCCCACCCCUUUCAGCUGUGACUUAUCACCCUUUCACAUCUUCCAGCUGUGCCACAUCACCCUCCUCCCACACCUUCCAGCUGUGCCUCAUCACCCUCCUCCCAUGCCUUCCAGCUGUGCCUCAUCACCCUCCUCCCACACCUUGCAGCUGUGCCUCAUCACCCUCCUCCCACACCUUCCAGCUGUGCCCCAUCACUUCUUCCCACACCUUCCAGUUGUACCUCAUCACCCUCCUCCAACACCUUCCAGCUGUGUCUCAUCACCCUCCUCCCACACCUUCCAGCUGUGCCCCAUCCAGUUGUGCCUCAUCACUCCUCCUCCCACAACAUCCAUCCUGGGCACAGGAAAGUCUCCAGGACUCAGUCCCUGAAGCCAAAGUCAUCUUAGAUUUCCCCUGUCCCCUCCCAAGACCCUGAGAAAACAGUCUUGUCACUUGGCCUCCCUGUGGCUCUUCCCAGAUGCAGCCCCUCUCUUAGGGGGUGAGGGUGGAAAGGGAGGACUCCAGCCACUUCUAUGAAUCCUCACAGUGCUGAAGCAGUCUCUUCGACCCCUGGCAUGUCUCAAGCGAGUUUGAAACAGUGGAGUUGAGGCAUAAUAAUAAUGACAGUAGCCUGGGCUUGGCAGCUUAUGCCUGUAAUUCCAGCACUUUGGGAGGCCGAGGCAGGUGGAUCACAUGAGGCCAGGAGUUUGAGACCAGCCUGGCCAACAUGGCAAAACCCUGUCUCUACUAAAAGUACAAAAAUCAGCCAAGUGUGGUGGUGCACAUCUGUAGUCCCAACUACUCAGGAGGCAGGAGAAUCGCUUGAACUCAGGAAGUGGAGGCUGCAGUGAGUCGAGAUCAUGCCACUGCACUCCAGACUGGGUGACAGAGCAAGACUGUCUCAAAAAUAAUAAUAAUCAUAAUGACAGUAAUUAACAGAGUCCUACUUGCAGUGCAAGCAAGGUGCCAGGCACUCUUAUAAACACGUCAGACAAAAUAACUCAGGUUCACAACAUCCCAUGAAGUAGUAUGUCUUAGUACAGUCAUUUUACACAGGAGGAAACUGAGGCCUAGAAAGACUGAGUGAAUUUUUCCUGAAGGCACACAGCACUGCUGCUACCAGGUGGCACUGGGGUAGAAUGCAGGCAGGCUGGCUUCAGGGCUGUGCUCGAAGGCUCAUCACUGCAAGGAGGGGGCUUUGGCAGGGGAGGAAGGAGAGCCUUGAGGCCCGGAUGCUGGGUUUGGGGCACUACCCUAAAGUCAGCAACUGUGCCAAAGACACCACCUGCCAAACAGCAGACAUGACACCCCCAGCAACACCCAUCCCAGCUGACAUUCUCCGAGUGCUCACGACAUUCCAGGUUCUGUGCCAAGUGCUGGAAGAACCUCAGCCGAGGCCCCUCGGCCAGCCAGCCCAGGCUCCAGAACCCCCUGAAAGGCUACCUGCAGCACCCAUCCCCUGCUAUGCCACCUGCCCUGGGCCCAGGCGUUCCUCAAUGGGAACACAGAAUGAUGCUGUCUGUCCUCCCUCUUCUCCCUCUUCCUCCCUCCCUCCCUUCUCUUCCCUUCCUUCUUUUCCUUCCCUCCCUCCCUUCCUUCUGGAUGCUUGCUAAUGAGUAGUGGGUGGCAGUAUAACACUUUGCUAAUUCCGCUGUCUAACAUUAAAAGGGCUUUUUGUCUGUGGUGUUCUCUUUCUGCCCCUCCCUCUCUUCCUCCCUCCCUCUAUGCAAUUUAUUUAUUUAUUUAAGACGGAGUUUUUUGCUCUUGUUGCCCAGGCUGGAGUGUAGUGGCGCAAUCUCAGCUCACUGCAACCUUCACCUCCUGAGUUCAAGCGACCCUCCUGCUUCAGCCUCCCUAGUAGCUGGGAUCACAGGUGUGCGCCACCACACCCGGCUAAUUUUUUUUGCAUUUUUAGUAGAGACGGGGUUUUACCAUGUUUGCCAGGCUGGUCUCAAACUCCUGGCCUCAGGUGAUCUGCUCACCUCUGCCUCACAAAGUGCUGGGGUUACAGGCGUGAGCCACCGCGCCAGCCUUCUAUACAUUUUAUGUGACUGGCAGUCCUUUCCCUUGCAUGUGCACUAACAUGUGAGGUGGACGUGUACGAGGAUGCCCUGGUGGGAGGAAGGGGCUAGGUCCCCUACUGGCUCACCAUACCUGUCAUCCUCUCUCCCUAUGCCGCCCAGCUCUGGGGCUCUGAGAAGCUUCUAGUCAGCCCACAAGGUUCUGGAGGGAAAAUUCUGCCUAGCCUCCGUCCUGCUUAGCCUGUUGCCUUUCUGGGCUCUAGCCACUCUGGCCCCAGAGGACACCCAGACCUGCAGUGAGGUCAGGGCUGGAAUGAGGGGUUGGACAUCACAGGCAAGGGUCAGACAUGGGCUGGGGGCCUUGGCCCUGCCUGCUGCCUCCAACAGCCCACUCCCCUCAAAAACCAGGCUGCUCUGGCCUGAAGAGGGCUGAGGGGGCUGGGGUCCUCGAGGGCUGCAGAGACCUGGGUGAGAGAGAAGGGGGGCUGGGCUAGCCCCCUCUUUCCCUUGUCUCCUGCCCUUUUCCCCAGCAAGACCCUGAAACUAUUUACAUCCCGCCCCUAAGAUCUCAGCUGUUCUAGGAUUCCAUUCUCUCUGGGCUCUAUUUUUCUUCUUCUUUUGCAAUCUCCAAGAAACCCGAGCUGCCAGAUGGGUGGGGGCGAUGAUUGUUUUCUGUCUGACAUCUGGAUUUCAUUAGCAGCCCUGGGCAUGCUGACUCAGGAAUGGCAGUUCCCCUCAGGCCCUCACAGACCUCUCUUGGUGUCUGGUUCGUAGCUGGACACAAGAGGCACAGGUGACAAUACCCCUCAGCUCUCCUCAAAGGAGUAACUAGUAACCCCAACAAUGUCUCAGAAGUGAUGGACACGGGUUCUAGAGAGCUUCUGCUCCCAGGUCAGCACCUGAAGGGUGGCUGCCAGGCUGGGUGUGGCUGGGCCUGACAGCAGUGAAGGGCAAAGGGAGAGCUUAGGAAAAGGCACAUAGCCCCCACCACUACCCCAGGCUCAAUUUCUACAGUGGUACUGAGUACAUCAUCAAGGCACCAACCUCAAAUCACAGAUAGGAAAAGAUGGCCCAGAGAGGUUAGGCAACUUGCCCAAGGUUGCACAGCAGCUAAAUGGCAGAGCUAGAAUUUGAACUCUGGUCUUCAUAUUAAAAAUUCAAGGCUGUGUCCUUUGACCUCAACAAGGCAUUGCCCACAUCAACAUCUGGACCCUCACCCUGCCUGAGCUUUAGUGGAGUGGUAGUAUCUGGAGUCCUCAUGUCCUGUCAUCAGAGAGACCCACGGUGGCCACCCAAUAGAAAGCUGCCCCCAGACACCCUCCAGGGCUGCAUUAUGACUUCUGUGGAUGCUAGGCACUUUUGCUUUUGUGGCCCCUUUCUGCACAAAACCUAUUAAAAAUUAUAU